UUAAAAGACAGCACCACCCUAAAUGCACACCAGAUUUCAGAAGCUAAGAAGGGUCAGACCUGUUAAGUCCUUGGAUGGGAGACCACCAGGGAAUUGCUUGGGAUCAGU
rnacentral:rRNA from 1 species